rnacentral:rRNA from 1 species
UACGUAGGGAGCAAGCGUUGUUCGGAUUUACUGGGCGUAAAGGGCGCGUAGGCGGCAUAUUAAGUCAUCUGUGAAAUCUCCGAGCUUAACUCGGAACUGUCAGCUGAUACUGAUGUGCUAGAGUGCGGAAGGGGCAAUCGGAAUUCUUGGUGUAGCGGUGAAAUGCGUAGAUAUCAAGAGGAACACCUGAGGUGAAGACGGGUUGCUGGGCCGACACUGACGCUGAGUGCGCGAAAGCCAGGGGAGCGAACGGG